UACGAAGGGGGCUAGCGUUGUUCGGAAUCACUGGGCGUAAAGCGCACGUAGGCGGACUGAUAAGUCGGGGGUGAAAUCCCGGGGCUCAACCUCGGAAUUGCCUUCGAUACUGCCAGUCUCGAGUCCGGGAGAGGUGAGUGGAAUUCCUAGUGUAGAGGUGAAAUUCGUAGAUAUUAGGAAGAACACCAGUGGCGAAGGCGGCUCACUGGCCCGGUACUGACGCUGAGGUGCGAAAGCGUGGGGAGCAAACAGG
rnacentral:rRNA from 1 species